AAGAGGGAAGCGCGACGCCCAGGAGAGUGGAGGAGAGAUCGACGCCUUGGACAUGGAAACGAUUUAAACAUGUGAUUAUUUUAAAAUGUACAAAAACAUGAGACUGGAAAAAUUUAAACAUUGGAUAUCUGAUUAUAUUAAGGAAUUAUGUUUAAUUUUUGCAUGUGAUAGUAGCAUUAUGAUUACGUAAAGAUCCUCAUCUUUUGGAUAUAUACUGACAUAUUUACAGAUGAAAACUAUAAUGGGACAUUUCAAAGAUGACAGAGGGAUUCACUCAUAGACUCUCUGGGUUGUAGAACUAAUUAUUUGGGGAAAGGGAACUGCUCACUUGGGCAACUUGGAUAACUGUAGAUUCCUCCGAGAAAAGGAAGAUAAAUAUUAAAUGUUUGGGACCCCUGGAUUAAGUCAGUAUUCCUUGAGGUCGGCUGUCAAAAGCAGACAGUAGGGGUUCUAAAGAGGAGCUCAUCAUAAUGCAAAGGGGAGUCUGGGCAGUUCAUUAGAGCUAAGUGCCUUAGGAUGCUGAAGAAGACUGAUUCCAGUGAAGUGGGUGUCAAGACACCUCACUCCUCGAGAGCCAACUGCCUUACCAAGAUGUAGCUUUGGGGAACAAUCUCUGAUCAUGUGAACGUUAACUAAAACAGUGGUGACGUUAGAGCCCAGGACCAAAGUUUGACAUAUGGAAUAACCUCUUAUCUUACUGUUUUAUUUCCAUUUCACUUCGUUUAUGAAAAUGUUUUGGCAGCCUAUUCAGAUUUGGGUUGAGUGACUAAUGUAAAUAUACUUGUACUUGAGAGGGAUAAAGAGGGUAUAUUUACUAAUGUAAAUAUACUUGUGCUUGAAAGGGAUAAGGAGGGUCUGUCUCUACACAGAUCAGUGUACUCUCUUGGGUUCCUUCCAGUUAUAAAAUGUAAUUAUUUUAUUAUGAAACAAAAGUAACUUGUUAGCUAAUUUGAAUAUCUGACUCAUACACUCUUGAACAAAAAAAAAAAAUCUUGAUUUAUUUUAUAGUUCUGGCACAGAGCCUCAAACACUUUGGAUGUUAAGAUCAUUAAGAAGCAGAUGAUAACAGAAUGAGAGCUUGUUAUUUAGUCCUUGACAUGUUGUACUUACUUGUGAUUUCAUUUGUACCCCGGAUUUCUCAAUAGCAGUGCACAUUUUCAGCCAUAUUUGUGGUAUGACUUAAAAGUGAACAAGUUGCUAAUUAUUUGUAAACGUUAUUUAAAUUAAAAAAGAGGGGAAAAGAGCAUUUCACUGUACUAUUAACUUAUUUAUUAGGCUUAUUUUAAUAGUUUAGUGGGUAAGCUCCAUAAAGGUAGAGAAUUUUUUUUUUCUGUUUUGUUCAUUAAUACAUAACAAGCACCCAGAACAGUAUCUGGAACAAAAGGGGUGCUUAAUAAACAUUUGUUUAAAAAAAAAGUUACAUUUAAGUAAUAAAAUGCUAAAAAUGUGGAAUGUUCUCUCUUUUUUUUAUGUUAGUCAUGUUCCCUCCCAAAGUAAUGAGUUGUGUACUUUAGCAUCUCCAAUAUUUAAACUUCCUCCUGUAAGAAGAUGUGUCUCUCUGUCCUUUGCCCAAGACUUGCAGUAAAUCCUUCAUAGUGGAGCACGAAUAGGAAGCGUUUGACUCACUUUGGCCAGUGCAUAUAAGCAAACAUGAUGUUCAGCAAGUCCCAGCAGAUGCUUAAGAGCCAUUAUCUGUUUCUACCAACUCUCUUGCUCUUUUCUGUUGCCAAAAGAGAAAGGUAUGUCUCAAAUAGGAGCUGCUUUUUCAGCCUGGGUCCUGAAAUGAGAAGGUCUGUAGAUAAAGCCUGCAGCUGACUUGAGGUUGCCAGUUUGUAAGGUGAGUGAGAAUUAACUGUUGUUGCUAGCCAGUGAGAUUUGGUGUUUGUUUGCCUUCUAAUUACAACCUAGCAAAAGUCUAUGUGAAUUUUGGAGAAAUGUUGGAAAAUUAGCAUCUAAAAAUAAAAAUAUAUAGUUUGUUUUUCUUUAUAGAAGUAUUAAAGCUGCAUUUGCUUAAUUCAGUUUUUGAAAAAAUGUUGACCAAGACAGGAUUAAGCCCCUCCUUUUAUCGUCAAAGGAGGCAACUCUAUAUGCUGGUAAAGUUAUUUGUCAAUGUUCUUUGUUAAAAAAGAAAAAAAAA
rnacentral:lncRNA from 1 species